rnacentral:rRNA from 1 species
ACAACAUCCGCCAGAAAACUACGCGCUACCAGCGUGAAACUCAAAAAACUUGACGGUAUCUCACACCUACCUAGAGGAGCCUGUUCUAUAAUCGAUAACCCACGCUAAACCUCUCCCACACUUGUACCCUCAGCCUAUAUACCUCCGUCGCCAGCCCGCCUGACAACAGACACCAAGCGAGUACAACAGCCUGACCCCUAACACGACAGGUCAAGGUGUAGCUAAUGUGUGGGCUGUAAUGGGCUACAUUUUUUAUACUAAAACAAACCCGAGUGCUAUGAAAACCGCACAAAAAGGUGGAUUUAGUAGUAAGCAAGGACUAGCACGCCAGUCUGAAACCUGCCCUGAGAUGCGUACACACCGCCCGUCACCCUCCUCAACAACACAAUAAACCAUAAUUAAUUAUACACGAGACACUAGAUGAGGCAAGUCGUAACAUGGUAAGCGUACUGGAAGGUGCGCUUGGAUAUUCCUGAUGGUAGCUUAAUCUAAAGCACUGAGCUUACAACUCAACUAUGUCGUCUUACGACCCCCCAGAGCCACCACGCUAGCCCACUCAAUCUACCAAAACCCGAUCUCACUAAACAAACCAUUUGCCCUGCCCUGUAUAU